rnacentral:rRNA from 1 species
GACGAACGCUGGCGGCGUGCCUAAUACAUGCAAGUCGAACGCUUCUUUUCUACCGAGUGCUUGCACUCACUUGAAAAGAGGAGUGGCGGACGGGUGAGUAACACGUGGGUAACCUGCCCAUCAGAGGGGGAUAACACUUGGAAACAGGUGCUAAUACCGCAUAAUAGUCGACACCGCAUGGUGUUGAUUUGAAAGACGCUUUCGGGUGUCACUGAUGGAUGGACCCGCGGUGCAUUAGCUAGUUGGUGAGGUAACGGCUCACCAAGGCCAUGAUGCAUAGCCGACCUGAGAGGGUGAUCGGCCACACUGGGACUGAGACACGGCCCAGACUCCUACGGGAGGCAGCAGUAGGGAAUCUUCGGCAAUGGACGAAAGUCUGACCGAGCAACGCCGCGUGAGUGAAGAAGGUUUUCGGAUCGUAAAACUCUGUUGUUAGAGAAGAACAAGUGGGAGAGUAACUGCUCCCGCCUUGACGGUAUCUAACCAGAAAGCCACGGCUAACUACGUGCCAGCAGCCGCGGUAAU